AUAUAAACCCCAUUUAUUCAUUACCCGAGAUCUGUUAUGUUCUCCUUCAUGUUCCUUCCUUGCCCUCAUCUUCACUGACGUCCAAACUCUCUGGUGCAGCUUUCCUCACGUCUGUUUCUUCGUCAUAACACCCCUUGGCUAAAGGACACCCCCUGCCCCACUCAUUGGGCAGCCCAGACUCACCACUGAAUCCCUUCAACUGGUGCCUGGUCCAGCGGAGAACGGUUCAACAUGCCUGAGCCCACAAAGAAAGAUGAUGGCCAACCUGAAGAGAAUGUUGCCCCAGACUCUGGUGACGCCCCAUCUGAGAAUUCGGUUGUGGUGACAACGAAAGGUAGGUGUCCAACCAUGUAACUCUGCCCCCCCACCCAACCUCACUCUUUUA